rnacentral:lncRNA from 1 species
CUUGCUUGCUUCUCACCCUGUUUCUCUUUCGCUCCCACAGUUUCUCUCACAGGUCUCCUUAACAAUGUGGUAGGAACAGCGGAGCAUCUCCACGGCUCUUCCGCCUUGCCUGCCGUAAAGCGAGAUGGUCGGGGGUCCUACGGCUUUCCUUUCGGUAGUCAAGAUGUUUAAAACCUCUCACAACUGGACCAAACUUCAACAGCCACAUCCUCCUCCUACACCCAGAUUUCUCAUCUCAGCAAAUGAGCUGAAGGAAAAAUAACUGGACGUCUUUGUGUAAGCCACAGCCUGUGUGCGCUGUCUCCACUCCUUGAAAAUAGAUUCACAAAGAUCUCAAACACCC